AUCUCAUAACCUUUUGAUCCUUUUCUCAUUUAAUUUCAAUCGCUUAACUGAAAAAUUCUCAUUUACAGGGUUUGUGUGAUUUAAUUGAUAUUCUGAUCUAAUUAGGAAUUUUUUUGAAAAUUUUAUAUUAAUUUUGUGAUUUUAUUAUGUGAAAUCUGUUUUGAUUCUCUUGUAAUGAUCAUGUAUUGCUAGGAAUCAAAAUGCAUGUCAAUGCGCUUCAAUAUUUGCUGCUUAACUUGAUAUCUGGCAGAAUCCAUUACAAUUAAUAUGAUUCUCUGGUCUAUUAGCGCAUUAGAUUCUCUUGAUUAAUAGGUUUGAUAGAAGUAACCUGAUUCAUGGUGAUUCUUCAACGGUUGAACUCAAUAAUUCCAAUAUGGUAAAAUUCUAGUUUUUGUCUAGUUUUUAUCUUUUAUUAUUUCUCUCAAGGCACGAGUUCCAGCACUAAGCACUAACCAAAGUGGAGUAUUCGAAUUCCUCUUUUCACAGACAUCAAGAAUGGCAAAAAAUUCUUGUGUCUACUACUCUGGCUAAUAACAUAUAUUUUGAAUUGUUACAUUUUAUAGUUUUGAGUAAUUAAUAACUCAUUUGAAAGAUACUAGUGUUGAGGACGAAUGAAUGAAUAUUGGAUGUUUCAGUUACAAGCAUAUAGUAUGGAUUAUUUGAUUUUAUAAUAUGAAUGAAAAUUGAUGGUCCACCAUCAUUACACGAGACAUGAAUGUACUACUGUUUAUUAACUCCAUUCUCACACAAAUCAGUGACAAGUAGCCAAAAUGAACUUUCCCUAAUUUAAUUUCACCCAUUCCAAUUCCAGGCACUACAUUAACAUUAUUUACUAUGAUAUUAAAUAAUUAAUUAGUAUAAGGAGCCUCAUUGACUUAGACUUAUUUUGAUGGGUCUAUACUCCAUAGUUCAUGGCCCUCUUAUAUUAUUUAUUUCACUCCUUUUCUUAGCUGCCACUUUCAUUUUCUUUCCCUUCACUUCAUUCAUUCAUUCACACAUACUGGAAGAAUAAUAAUGGGAAGACACUCUUACUAUUACAAGGAGAAGCUUCGGAAGGGUCUAUGGUCUCUUCUAAAGAGGAUGAAAAGCUUCUCAGGCAUAUCACUAAAUACGGUCAUGGAUGUUGGAGCUCUGUUCCUAAGCAAGUAGGUUUGCAGAGGUGUGGUAAGAGUUGCAGUCUUAGGUGGAUCAAUUACUUAAGGCCUGAUUUAAAGUUUGGAAUAUUUUUACUUUUACUAUUUUCACUACAACCACAGUUUAGGUACCUAUUGCUUUGAUUAGAGAAGGAACUAACACAAUCUCCACUAUUACUAUUCACAACAAAAUCUAUUGACAACAAGGCUUCAUUUCAAGGACUUAUUCAAUUGAAGGCGUAAUAAAGUUAUGUCUCAAAGUUGAUAAAAGCUAUGAUUGAGUGCUGGCACUUUCAAUCAUCUCCCCAAUUAAACUUUGAAGAUUAUGCAAUCUGCAGCUUCUAUGUGAUUGGAGUCAUGUUUUUGAAGAGGGGGAAUGUUCAUAAAAAAAAAUUUAUGAAAUUUCAAUAAAAAUUUAUGAAACUAGCCCAUAAUUUAUGAAAUAUAAUGUUCAUAAAUAGAAUGAUUUUGUUACAGGUACAACAUGUCACAUAGUGUAGCAAAACAGAAUGCAUCAACUUCAGAGUUCAGAUACCAUUGCACUUUGAAGCUCUCCUUUCUCAUCCAGAUACUAAUCACAAUAAACUCAAGUACACCAGUUUCUUUAUCUCUCACUCUAUUUGUUUAUUGAUAAAUUUUCAAGAAUCUUGAUAAGUUUAGUGGAACUCUCUAAUAAAACUAGAAUAUAAUUCACUGAUGAUGACAAUCCUCUAAUAAUUGAAGUGCAUGCAAUUUAUUAGAAUAUACUAAGAUGACUAGUACUCUGAUAUGUUAAUAUCUUCUAGAUAAUAUGGAAACAAAGCAACUAUCUACUAAAAUUUAUUUGAAAACUUCUUAUUUACGAGUACCAAAAUUUUAUCAUUUUUUGAGAUAAGAACUAACUUUGUCUAAUUUAUAUGACAUAAACCGAGAUGUUUAUAUAUAUAUAUAUAUAUAUAUAUAUAUAUAUAUAUAUAUAUAUAAAAUACAACUAUAUUUUCUAGCAAAUGAGUAUUCAAGAAAUGAAGAUCAUGAGUGAUCCUUUUUCAUGCACAUUUGCCUUAAUUAUCUUAGAAAACAUACCCUUAAUCAGCAGCUUAAAAAGUUCAAUUCAUAAAUUGUGAUUCGAAGCACAAUAUAGUUCCAUCAUACUGUCAAGUUACAUGCAGAAAGAGAGAAUUAAAAAAAUAGUUAACAUCAAUGUUUGUGAAGUUUUAUCCAUGAGUAGCAAUGAUACUGAAUGAUCACAAAAAUUGACAAUUCAAGCAAGACCUAAAUAGAGUUUAGACUACAAUCCUAUUCUAAAUCAAAUAAAUAUUUCACAACUUAACAAGUAAUUGAUGACAAGUCAUCAUAUACCCAUUUUUCAAGCUAAUUUCACUUGUUUCACUAGUCUUUAUGCACUUUCUUGCAUCCUAAGUAAGUAAUUUGGAAUAAAAAUGCAUGACUUCUUUAAAUCAAACAACCACAAUUUAAUUGAUGCUAAAUCAUGAGGUUUGAGCUAAAAUUAAUUGAUUUUUAAUGAAUUAUAAACCUUAUGAGUUUGGAGAUACUUUGAUUGGUUGCUUUGAUUUUUUGUAGGUAAAGAAAAGAAGAAAAGAAGAAAAAAGUGGCUUAAGAAGUAUGGCCAAGAGAAGAAAAUGGUGUGGUGAAAGAAGGAGAAGUGUGGCGCAACAUUGAAGGAGGAAGCAACAUUACUCUCCACAAGAGCACACUGCCCUCCAAGAGAGCAACAUAAUGAACCAAGCCUCUAAAACAUCACUGCCCUGCCCUCCAUAAGAGCGGAGCACAAUUCUAUGCCAAGGACUAAAGGAAGAAAAACUCUGCCCUGCCCUCCUCAAGAGCAAUAUCGGGCUCCAUGCAAGAAAAAUUCAAAGGAAAUUGCUCUCCUAGUGCUACCCAUGGGUUUCGAACCCAAGAACAAGAAGGAAGGAAGUAGCGCUCAAAUACAAGGAAAACAAGACAAAAUUGGCUUGUUUUCAAUCUCCAAGAAUCGAACAAAGCACCUUGGGGAAGCAAGGAACUAGGCAUUACUUUGGUGCCAAGAAAACCAAGGAAAAGGGGCAGCGUGUGCCUCCACCAAGUUUCGAACUUGGGACCUCACCCUUGGUUGCCUUGCUGCGCUGCCCACAAGGAGAGCAGAGCAGCAUUCCUUAGCAUGGCACGGGCAGCAUUUUUGGCACGGCUGGGAGCUUGGGCGCGCGCACAAAUUGGCACGGCCAGCAGCAAGCAUGCACGCACAUUUCCCUGCUCUCCGCGAGGGCAGGGUAGCAUCCUGAUGCUACACAUUCAGCACGCACGCACGAGGCCUCAUGCUAGAUUUCCCUGCUCUGCUCUCCACAAGAGCAGAGCAGCCUCCUGGAGCCAAAUUCUUCAUAGGCUGAAAAUUGGAUUAAAAAUCCAAUUUAAUUCAUUUCUUCACCAAAUUAAAAGCCCAUCCAAAUUCCAAAAUCCAAGAAUAGAAAGUGUAUAAAUAGGAGAUAGUUUGAUGUAAUUAGGACUUUUUCUUUUGAUUUUUGAAUUUUUACAUUCUGAGACUUCAUUUUCUUUGAGAGCUUUGAACUGAGAUCUUAGAGAAUUGGGAAGGCGAAUUGAUUUCUCUUCUUCCUUGUUCUUGCUCGAGCACUUUUUACUUUUCUUGUUUGAGUCUUGGGUGUGAAGAAUUGAGGAACUUCUGUCUCAAUCUCCAUUUAAGAUCUCUUUGAUUUUCCUACUGCAUAAUUGAGUUGAUUUCAAUUUCUUUUACUGCUUCAA